rnacentral:rRNA from 1 species
GUCUGGGAAACUGCCUGAUGGAGGGGGAUAACUACUGGAAACGGUGGCUAAUACCGCAUAACGUCGCAAGACCAAAGAGGGGGACCUUCGGGCCUCUUGCCAUCAGAUGUGCCCAGAUGGGAUUAGCUUGUUGGUGAGGUAACGGCUCACCAAGGCGACGAUCCCUAGCUGGUCUGAGAGGAUGACCAGCCACACUGGAACUGAGACACGGUCCAGACUCCUACGGGAGGCAGCAGUGGGGAAUAUUGCACAAUGGGCGCAAGCCUGAUGCAGCCAUGCCGCGUGUAUGAAGAAGGCCUUCGGGUUGUAAAGUACUUUCAGCGGGGAGGAAGGUGUUGUGGUUAAUAACCGCAGCAAUUGACGUUACCCGCAGAAGAAGCACCGGCUAACUCCGUGCCAGCAGCCGCGGUAAUACGGAGGGUGCAAGCGUUAAUCGGAAUUACUGGGCGUAAAGCGCACGCAGGCGGUCUGUCAAGUCGGAUGUGAAAUCCCCGGGCUCAACCUGGGAACUGCAUUCGAAACUGGCAGGCUUGAGUCUUGUAGAGGGGGGUAGAAUUCCAGGUGUAGCGGUGAAAUGCGUAGAGAUCUGGAGGAAUACCGGUGGCGAAGGCGGCCCCCUGGACAAAGACUGACGCUCAGGUGCGAAAGCGUGGGGAGCAAACAGGAUUAGAUACCCUGGUAGUCCACGCCGUAAACGAUGUCUACUUGGAGGUUGUGCCCUUGAGGCGUGGCUUCCGGAGCUAACGCGUUAAGUAGACCGCCUGGGGAGUACGGCCGCAAGGUUAAAACUCAAAUGAAUUGACGGGGGCCCGCACAAGCGGUGGAGCAUGUGGUUUAAUUCGAUGCAACGCGAAGAACCUUACCUGGUCUUGACAUCCACAGAACUUUCCAGAGAUGGAUUGGUGCCUUCGGGAACUGUGAGACAGGUGCUGCAUGGCUGUCGUCAGCUCGUGUUGUGAAAUGUUGGGUUAAGUCCCGCAACGAGCGCAACCCUUAUCCUUUGUUGCCAGCGGUCCGGCCGGGAACUCAAAGGAGACUGCCAGUGAUAAACUGGAGGAAGGUGGGGAUGACGUCAAGUCAUCAUGGCCCUUACGACCAGGGCUACACACGUGCUACAAUGGCGCAUACAAAGAGAAGCGACCUCGCGAGAGCAAGCGGACCUCAUAAAGUGCGUCGUAGUCCGGAUUGGAGUCUGCAACUCGACUCCAUGAAGUCGGAAUCGCUAGUAAUCGUGGAUCAGAAUGCCACGGUGAAUACGUUCCCGGGCCUUGUACACACCGCCCGUCACACCAUGGGAGUGGGUUGCAAAAGAAGUAGGUAGCUUAACCUUCGGGAGGGCGCUUACCACUUUGUGAUUCAUGACUGGGGUGAAGUCGUAACAAGGUAACCGUAGGGGAACCUGCGGUUGGAUCACCUCCUUACCUUAAAGAA